UACGGGGGGGGCAAGCGUUGUUCGGAAUUACUGGGCGUAAAGGGCUCGUAGGCGGCCAACUAAGUCGGACGUGAAAUCCCCAGGCUUAACUUGGGAACUGCGUCCGAUACUGGAUGGCUUGAAUCCGGGAGAGGGAUGCGGAAUUCCAGGUGUAGCGGUGAAAUGCGUAGAUAUCUGGAGGAACACCGGUGGCGAAGGCGGCAUCCUGGACCGGUAUUGACGCUGAGUGAGCGAAAGCCAGGGGGAGCAAAACGGGG
rnacentral:rRNA from 1 species